CAAGAGAACUACGUUACAUCAUGCCUCUAACUCUGUUCGAAUCGAUAAAUAAAAAAAAUAAUAAAUUUUCCACUCGCUAAUGGAAAAGUACAAAAAAAAAAAAAAAAUCGUUCGGCAAACCUUCGAACAAUCUCAAAUGAAGAAACUUUUCUCAAGAUUUUUCACACAAGUUAUGUACUACGGGUGAUGUAUCGUCGUCCGAUCGAUUCACGAAGGAACAGGCCACUACUACGUCGCGGCUGAUCGUUUGCUUCUGAAAAGCAUCGAAAUGAUCGGAAUUAAUCGUAGAGACGUCAAGACGUUGUAAUUAUAUAACGUGUUUGUUGCAACGUAUAUAUGGAUCAAAAGAGGAGCGUAGGUGAAACGUAGUUGGCACGAAAAACAACACUCACCCUCCCGGAUACGAUAAACGUAGUUGCGGCUUCCACUUAGAACGUAAAAAGAUCAAAUUUUAAUAUGCCCAGAGUAUUUACAGCAGCUCGAUCGUAGAACGAGAAUUUUUAUUUUCUUUGUCGAUUUCUUCUUUCUUCUUUAAUCACGAUGACGUAGAUAAACUCGAACCAAUGUCGUACGAAAGAAAGAACAGCGACUUUGUAUCUUUUCAAAAAAAGAUGUACGUCUCUCUCUGCUCUUCCUUCACGGAAUGCGAGUAGUCACAGAUGAAAUCCUAGACUCGUCUCAUACCACGUCACAGGAUGGCGCUACGCACGCUCUCAACCUGUUUAUGGAAGUUCUACGUCAUCGGCGACCAAUCAAUACACAUCUGAUCACAUCAUUCGCCAAUCAGAACGUAUACGCACUACCCUGCGGGGGAAAUUGACACGUCAUUCUCGGAAUACGAGGAUAUGAGAUACCAAGUCAAUAAAUUGUUUUUCUCUUUCCUUCUUAUGCAGCAACACGCCCCGACUCUUGUAUGUAACAAUUUUGAUUUCUUUUCUUGCUUUCUCUAUUAUUCUUCUUUUUUUCUUCCGUUAUAUUACCCUUUCUCUCUCUCUUUCUCCCUACCUCUCCCUUCCUCUCCCUCUCCCUCCUACUCAGUCUAUCUUCUUCUUCCUCUCUCUUUCUCUUUCUCUCUCUCCCCCUCUCUCUCUCUCUCUCUCUCUCACCAUUUCUGUUUAUCUCUCAUAGCCCUCUACAUUCCACCAACGUUUUAAAACGUUUCAUCCUAUCUUUUGAAGUAGAAUUUUUCUUAUAGGACUUAGUUGUUUAAAAUCUCAAACUUAUUCGAUUUCAUAUUAUAAUACUUGAGGCUUUUCAAUGCGCAUAAACGUAAAGAUUAAUUUUCUUGUUGUUCUUUCGAUCAACGUACUGCGUAUGUAAAUGAAAUAGAGGUUAGAAUAAUACGUUUAAGGAAAAGCAGAUGUAUUUUUAAAGGGAACUACUUUUAUCCUGCUAUUUGUUCGCUAUUGUUUAGAGUUCGUAAUUAUAUAUACAUACAUAUAUUUGAGAUCACAGAUAUAUAAUAUUGUAAAAGUACUACGUAGUUCAACUUUACAGCAAAAUAACAAAUGAAAAUCUACAAAAUGAUUUCUUUUUGGUAAAAUUAAAAAUAAAUGUUAACUAACAUUGAAUUAUGAUAUUCAUCGAUCGAUUAAAAUUAUUUUAAAAUGUAUUUUAAAAGAUGUAACAUACUUUUUCGUAAAAAAUAAUACUCUUUCGUAAUCGAAUAUGAAGAUGUUAGUUUAUUGAGGAUUAUUAAAGAUGAGUAAAAAGAAUUGUAUAAACUAUGAAGAUCGACUAAAGUUUCUUCUUGCUAUUAUGACUGAAAAUUAUGACGAUGCAAUUGAAGUUGGAUCUUUAGUUUUAAAACAGAACCCAAAUGAUCUAAGCAUUCUGAAAAUAUUAUCUGCCAUUAAAGAUAAAAUUGGUACGUAUUAUAUAAGCAAUAAACAGUCUGGCGGAAUCUGUCGCCAGUGAUUCAGAUGAAAACAUCCAUGAUGCAGAGAAUAUGCAAAUAAAUUGCGACACGAGCGAUCUUGAUUCCGUUAUGGAUGAUGAAGAGGAGGAUAACGAUUUCGUCUCUAUAGAUACGAACAAGUUUUGUCAAAGUACAACACCAGUACAAAAUUUGUCGGAUUGUAUCAAGAAAUGUCUUCUAUCUGGUACCGGUAAAGAGAAGAAACAAGAGAGUUUUGUCUUCAAAGAAAAAAUGUAUCGGGUAAUACCUAUGAAAAUGAACGGAAAAUUAUUCUAAAUAUCAAAGUACUAUUUUUGGCUCUUUCCUCAUACUACUUAGGAAAUUUACCGUAACAUCGAUACUCACCUUUGUACCACGACGUUGUAUAAUAAUCUUCCUAGACACAUGUGCGUUAUCAUAAUUGACUAUCUUUAAUGAAAUAUAUUUUAUUAAUAAAAAAAAAAAAAAAAGGGAAAACAAUUAUCUGUUAAAGAGUUUUAACAAGGUAAAAAUAAAAAGUGGCGUCAUAGACAUCGUUCAAUGUACAUUACGGUUCAUUCUUUUUUUUUUCAUUUCUAUUUUUUUUUUCUUUUUUUUUUUUUUCUUAUAGAUAAUAUUUACGAAUUUCACGAUCGAACCAGACGAAAUUAUAAGAAUGAAGUCUAUUUACUAUAUAUUUAUGUAUAUGUAUUUGUGUGUUAUGUAUGUACAUAUAUAUCUUUUAUUGAUGUAAAGAACUUCGUGCGCAAUUAUUGGACAUCGUUCCAUUCAAUUGCGUGACUUCGCUGCUCGUUCUCCAUCAACUUGAAAAUUUUGUUUUGUUCUUCUC